rnacentral:rRNA from 1 species
CCUACGGGCGGCUGCAGUGAGGAAUAUUGGUCAAUGGGCGCGAGCCUGAACCAGCCAAGUAGCGUGAAGGAUGACUGCCCUACGGGUUGUAAACUUCUGUUAUAAAGGAAUAAAGUGAGGCACGUGUGCCUUUUUGUAUGUACCUUAUGAAUAAGGAUCGGCUAACUCCGUGCCAGCAGCCGCGGUAAUACGGAGGAUCCGAGCGUUAUCCGUAUUUAUUGGGUUUAAAGGGAGCGUAGAUGGGUUGUUAAGUCAGUUGUGAAAGUUUGCGGCUCAACCGUAAAAUUGCAAUUGAUACUGGCAGCCUUGAGUACAGUUGAGGUAGGCGGAAUUCGUGGUGUAGCUGUUACAUGCUUAGAUAUCACGCAGAACUCCGAUUGCGAAGGCAGCUUACUAAACUGCCACUGACAUUGAUGCUCGAAAGUGUGGGUAUCAAACAGGAUUCGAUACCCUAGUAGUC